ACUUAACACCUCCUUCCUUGCCCGGAGGCCAGAGCUCAAGCCCAUCCCCUGUGCCUACACAGCAGGUAGCUCUGUGGCCUCUACUUCCUCUUCACAGCCAUCCCUAACUUGUUUGCUGCGCCCCAGACCAUUCAGUCUUGUCUUCACCCUUUAGAAUUUCUCUGGUUCCUGACAUACACAAGGGAUUGGUCAGAGGAAUGCACCAGAAGAAAUCCUACCACACAGAAGUUUUCUGUAAAAAAAAAUGAGAUGGUGGAAUUUGAAUACAGAAGUAACUGAUCUGUUCUGAACUUAUAAUGAUGAAAUAAUGGAACAGGAAAGAGGAUUCUGACUCCGGUGUUGAGGAAUGAGGCCCAGGAUCUGAAUUUUAGAAAUAAUAUUUUUGCUUCAUUCAAACAACGGAGGACCUUGAAUAGUUUUGUCAGUUUGGUCACAAUGUUUGAAAGUCCUUGAAAGGAGAGAAAUGCUGUGAAAAACAGGCCCAGCAUUUGGAGGAUGUGACUCUUAACUCCGACUCUUGUCAGCCACGAGACUUUGAAGAAAGGAAAAAUGCAUCGGUCUAUUCUUAGUGUAACAAGAUGCUUUACCAGAAGGUUGCCCUGGAGGAUCUCAUGGAAAAUACUAACAUUACCUUCAGCCAUGUCUCCUUACACCCCUCUUGGCUGUGACUGUUUCUCAGACCUUGCUUGCUUUUGAAGGCCUUGACAGUUUGAGCACUACGAGUCAGCACCAUGCAAGGGUUCUCAAAGUGUUGUCCUUGAACCAGCAGCAGCAGCUGCAUCACCUAGGGACAGAUCUCUCUGGUUCCAGUUUCUCUUCUGUUUUCAAAGUGAUAUGCUGAAGAGGAAGGCACAUUAUCGGGAAGGUAGAUAAAUGGUGAGAUGGAAAGAGAGAUGGUGAAGUCCAGCCUUGCACUUUGAUUCUGCUGACUACCCUCUGCAUGGCUUUUGGCAAAAAUGUUAACAAAUGAGCAUCAUCAAUUUUCUCAGCUGUAAAUUGGGGGUCUCCCCUACCUCUCACUGGAUUGUCUUGAGACUCAAAGAGUAUAAUGAAGGGGGGUUCUUAGUUACUGGCCUCCAGAUCACUCUUGUUUCAGUAUAAAACUGAAAACAAAAAACACACGUUUUA
rnacentral:lncRNA from 1 species